rnacentral:rRNA from 1 species
CAAUAGCGUAUAUUUAAGUUGUUGCAGUUAAAAAGCUCGUAGUCGGAUUUUGGCUGAGAACGAACGGUCCGCCGUUAGGUGUGCACUGUUUGGUCUCAGCUUCCUGGUGAGGAGGUGUGCUUCACGGCCACUUAGUCACCGUGGUUACUUUGAAAAAAUUAGAGUGUUCAAAGCGGGCUUACGCUUGAAUAUAUUAGCAUGGAAUAACACCAUAGGACUCCUGUCCUAUUUCGUUGGUCUCGGGACGGGAGUAAUGAUUAAGAGGAACAGUUGGGGGCAUUCGUAUUUCAUUGUCAGAGGUGAAAUUCUUGGAUUUAUGAAAGACGAACUUCCGCGAAAGCAUUUGCCAAGGAUGUUUUCAUUGA